rnacentral:rRNA from 1 species
CGCGUAGGCGGUGCCACAAGUCACCUGUGAAACCUCCGGGCUCAACUCGGAGCCUGCAGGCGAAACUGUGGUGCUGGAGUAUGGAAGAGGUGCGUGGAAUUCCCGAUGUAGCGGUGAAAUGCGUAGAUAUCGGGAGGAACACCUGUGGCGAAAGCGGCGCACUGGACCAUAACUGACGCUGAGGCGCGAAAGCUAGGGGAGCAAACAGGAUUAGAUACCCUGGUAGUCCUAGCCCUAAACCAUGGAUGCUUGGUGUAGCCGGUACCCAAUCCGGCUGUGCCGAAGCUAACGCGAUAAGCAUCCCGCCUGGGGAGUACGGUCGCAAGGCUGAA